UUUUAUUCCAUGAUUUUUAGUAAGUAAAUAGAAUAAAAUGGGUUGUGAUUUUAUUAUUCCUAUCUUACCCUCAUUAUAACAUUUUAAAAAAUAAUAACAAUCCUAUUUUUGAAUAAACUAUAUUAUAUAGUCAUAAAAUAAUGUACUUAGAUGGUCAGACGAGACAUCUCAUAAGUCAUAACUCAUUCACUCGUCACAAAUCCUAUAAUCAAAAGAAC
rnacentral:lncRNA from 1 species